CCCUGCAGGUGACGGUGACAGUCUACACCCAUCCAACCCUUCCCCAGCUCUUACCUUGGGGUGGGACGUGCAGAAGGGAGAGGUGGUGGGAGAUAGGUCGAGACCACCAUUCAUGCAGGAACCCUUGUUCCCACCUCCCCCAGGGCCUGAGAGGAGCAUGAGGAGCUGGAAGAAUGGUGGACUGUGGGCUGCAAGGGGUAAGCAAGCAGGUGGUCAAGUGCCUCUGCCAGCUUUGCUCCAUAUGAGCUGUGACCUGGAGUCUAUUGUUUUGCCUCUCUGAACCUCAGUGGCCUCAUCUGUAAGAUCUCAAUUGACAAUGGGCUUGCCUCACAGGGCUGUGGUGAGGAUUCAGUGAGACUUUAUUGCAUGUAAAUUCUUUAGAUUUAAAAAAUAUGAAUCCAAUAAAUGGUAACAGUUUCUGUCUGUUGCCAUGGUUACUGCCUGGCUCCCACAGCACACAAUGGGCAGUGACCCAGGCUCAGUGCUCCCAAUUGGAGUGGGUGUAGGGGAAGGCAUCAAUGAAUUGCAGAAAAUCGAUCUGUGAGGGUGGUUCUCAGACCAAAGCCAUUGUUGGAAUCCCCCCAGGGAAGCUGAUCUGAGAAAGGAUAAAAUCAUGUUAGUAGCACUCUCUGAGUGUUAACUGUGUGCCAGGCCUUGUCCUAAAGGCCCGAUGUGUCCUACUUGUUUUAAUCCCCACAGUGUCUCUAAGAGACAGGAGCUAUUAUAUCCCAUUCCACAGGUGGAGAAACUGAGGUGUAGGGCCUUGAAGCUCUAGACUACACAAUUUGUAGGUGGUGGCAUUUGAACCUGGAUGGUAAGAGGCCUGAGGGCCACACUGUGAAGUGCUCUCUGCUGAGGUUAGCUGUGCUGGCCCUGCCUUGUGGGCCACCUUAGCUAAUUAAAUCAGUAUGUGCAAAUGGAGUCUUCCCCUCCAGCCAAUCCUUUACCUACCCACUUGCUGCCAUGUUCUAGGCCUUGCUGGGAUUGUUGCUGCAUUUGACAGUAUGGAAGCUGAGGCUCAGUGAGAAGCGGGGAUGCCGCAAGAUCCCCUCAGUCAGUCUGUCAGAGGUAGACAGGAUGGGGGCCCAGGUCUAUUGCAGCACUGCUGCACUUAAGACAUCACCUCCUUCUGGAAGCUCUCCCCAAUUACCUCCCAGAUAGCUCAGGUCCCCUAUAUACCUUCCCAGCACUGAUCAAGGGAUAUUGGAGAGAUUCUUUUAUAUCUGAGACCCGAGGCUCUGUGAGGUCCAGGGUUGAGGGGGUCUCAGUCAUUUCAGUAUCUUUGCUACACAGAGAUGUUCAAUGGAUCUGAAUGCGUGAAUGAAUGCAGCCCCUGACACAUACAGGCCAGAGGCAGAGGUGGCAGCAUAAGGAGAUCAGGUGGUGCUGCAAGGAAGUAGGAAAACCAAAGAGGCCUUUAUCCAUCCAUCCAUCUAUGCACCCACCCAUGCAGUCUACAAAUAUGUAUGGAGCAUCUACUAUGUGCCAGGCACUGAGCUACAGACACAGCAUGAACAAGAUGGACAAAUUCCUGCUUCUUGGAGCUGGCAUUCUGACGGGAGAAUGAUACAGUUUGGGUAUUUGUCCCUUCCAAAUCUGAUGCUGAAAUGUGAUCCCCAGCCAGGUGUGGUGGCUCAUGCCUGUAAUUCCAGCACUUUGGGAGGCCAAGAUGGGUGGAUCACUUGAGGCCAGGAGUUUCAGACCAGCCUGGCCAACAUGGUGAAACCUCGUCUCUACUAAAAUACAAAAAAAAAAAUAGCCAGGUGUGGUGGCGCAUAUCUGUAAUCCCAGUAUUUGGGAGGCUGAGGCAGGAGAAUCGCUUGAACUGGGGAGGCAGAGGUUGUAGUGAGCCGAGAUUACUCUGCCUGGGUGACAGAGUGAGAUCUUGUCUCAAAAAAAAAAAAAAAAAAAAAAAAGAGAAAAGAAAAGAAAAGAAAUGUGAUCCCCAGUGUUGGAGACAGGACCUGGUGGGAGGCAAAUCCCUCAUGAAUGACUUGGUAACCCGGAGGUAAUGAGUGAGUCCUCACUCUGAUAGUUCACACAAGAGCUGCUUGUUUGGACUCUUUUUCCCUCUCUUGUCACGUGACGUGCCUGCUUCCUCUUUGCCUCCUGCCUUGAGUAAAAACUUCCUGAGGCCUCCCCAUAAGCCAAGCAGUUACUGGCAAGAUGCUUCUUGCAGAGCCUGCAUAACCCUGAGCCAGAUAAACUUCUUUUCUCUGUAAAUUACACAGUCUCUAGUAUUCCUUUAUAGCAAUGUAAAGUGGACAAAUAUAGGGAGACAAUGCAUAAACAAAUAACUAAAUGAUUUCCAAGCCAUAAUAAGGGCUGCGGAGGCAUGGAUCAUGAGUUCUUAGGGAGGAUGGUUACGGAAGGCUUCUGGAAAAAGGUGAUAUUUGUACUGAAACCCAAAUAAAGGGAGACAGUGGGCCCUGUGAUGAAUCAGGGAAGAGCGUUCCAGGUGGAGAGAACAGUGAGGGCAGAGUGCCCAGGGCAGGAAGAACAAGCUCAGUACGAGGGAGCCAGGGUAGCUAGAGGAAUAUGAGCAGAGGGGAGGGAGGUGGGAGAGGAGGCCACCAAGGUCAUGAGAGGAGGGGACAGGGAUGGGAUGGACUCCCAGGUUUGGGGCCUGAGUGCCUGGGAGGAUAGGGAGGAAAGCUGGAGAGGACUGUUAGUUUCCAAGGGAGAUGCUGAAGGACCUGGAGCUCGGGAGGUCUGGGCAGAAGGUAAAGCUAUGGAUGCUGGGCCAGGUGCGGUGGCUCACGCUAUAAUCCCAGCACUUUGGGAGCUCUAGGUGGGUGGAUCAUGAGGUCAGGAGUUUGAGACCAACCUGGCCAACGUGGUAAAACCCUGUCUCUAGUAAAAAUACAAAAAAUUAGCCAGGCAUGGUGAUGUGUGCCUAUAAUCCCAGCUACUCACGAGGCUAAGGCAGGAGAAUCUCCUGAACCCAGGAGGUGAAGAUUGAACUGAGAUCACGCCAUUGCACUCCAGCCUGGGUGACAGCGAGACUCUGUUCCCCCCACAAAAAAAGAAAUAUGGGUGCUGUGAUGGUAGACAUGGUUUUGAAAGCCUCAGGAUCAGACAGGGUUCCCUGGGGAGAGGCCCAGAGACAGCAACGUUUAGAGAUCAUCUAGGGGGCCAGGUGUGGUGGCAUACACCUGUAAUCCCUACACUUUAGGAAGCUGAGGUGGUGGAUCACUUGAGAUCAGGAGUUUGAGACCAACCUGGCCAACAUGAUGAAUCCCCAUCUCUACUAAAAAUACAAAAGUUAGGCAUGGUGGCAUGCACCUGCAGUCCCAGCUACUCAGGAGGGUGAGGUGGGAUUAUUACUUGAACACAAGAGGUCGAGGUUGCAGUGAGCCAAGAUCACGCCACUGCACUCGAGCCUAGGCAACAGAGCAAGAUUUUGUCUCGAAAAAAAAAAAAAAAAGAUUUUCCAGGGGUGGAAGGACCAAAAAGAACCAAAAAAGGAAUGACCAGGCUCAUACAAGGAGGUUGGAGAAGGAUGGGUGCCGUGGCUCAGCUUGUAAUCCCAGCACUUUGGGAAACUGAGGUGGGAGGAUCAUUUGAGGCCAGGAUUUUAAGACUAGUCUGGGCAACAUAGCAAGACCCUGUCUGUACUGGAAAAAAAAAAAAAAAAAGGAGGUAGGAGAACACCACAGCACCAUUGCAGGGGCUCAGGUAGGUGGUCUCAGGGAGGGAGGGGGCAGGCCUGGGGCCCAAGGCUACCAGUGGGUAAGGCAAGGAUCUGUGUGACCCCAGGCAGGAGAAGACUGGGGUGUGGUGGGGAGUGCACUAGGACCUUAGGCCCAAGUAACAGGUUUUCCAAGGGACACAUGGGGCCAAGGAGAUUUUGUUCUGGUCCUGUCCCUCAGAGGCAGGGCUAGGGCAAUGGAAGACCCUCUUUCUUGCCCUGGGAAAUCAUGAGAGUGGUGCUGGGCCUAGACCUGGAGAGGGUAUGUCACAGGCUGGACAGGGCAGACAUGUGGGUAUCAACCUCGAUUCUAUACCUUCUCUGGGCCUGAAGCCUAUCUCUUCAGUGGGGUGAAAAUGUGACCCUUGCCCUGACCCCAGGGGACUGUGAGACUUGGACAGGAGGAGCCUAGAGGUCAUUCAUGCUUUUUAAAUUUUAUUUUAGAAUCGGGGUCUCACUUUGCCAACCAGGCUGGAAUGCAGUGGCAUCAUCACAGCUCACUGCAGCCCCAAACUCCAACUCCUGGGCUCAAGCAAUCCUCCCACCUCAGUCUCCUAAAUAGCUGGUACUAUAGGCACGUGGGACUAAAGUACUAUAGGGCUAAAGGCAGCUGGGACUAUAGGACUAUCGGACUAAAAUCACCCAGACUGGUUAUUUUUUAAUUUCGCUCUUGUUGCCCAGGCUGGAGUGCGAUGGUGUGAUCUCGGCUAACUGCAACCUCCAUCUCCUGGGGUCAAGCGAUUCUCCUGCCUCAGCCUGCCAAGUAGCUGGGAUUUCAGGCAUGCGCCACCACACCCGGAUGUCCUUAUAAGAGGAAAUUUGGAUAUGCAAAGAGAUACCAGUGUUGUGCACACACAGAGGAAAGGCCAUGUGAGGACACAGUGAGAAGACACUCUCUGCAAACCAUCAAAGAAACCAAACCUGCUGACACCUUGACUUUGGACCUCCAGCCUCCAGAACUGUGAGAAAUAAACUUCUGUUGUUGAA